rnacentral:rRNA from 1 species
CCUACGGGUGGCACCAGUGGGGAAUAUUGCGCAAUGGGCGCAAGCCUGAUGCAGCCAUGCCGCGUGUAUGAAGAAGGCCUUCGGGUUGUAAAGUACUUUCAGCGGGGAGGAAGGUGUUGUGGUUAAUAACCACAACAAUUGACGUUACCCGCAGAAGAAGCACCGGCUAACUCCGUGCCGGCAGCCGCGGUAAUACGGAGGGUGCGAGCGUUAAUCGGAAUUACUGGGCGUAAAGCGCACGCAGGCGGUCUGUCAAGUCGGAUGUGAAAUCCCCGGGCUCAACCUGGGAACUGCAUUCGAAACUGGCAGGCUAGAGUCUUGUAGAGGGGGUAGAAUUCCAGGUGUAGCGGUGAAAUGCGUAGAGAUCUGGAGGAAUACCGGUGGCGAAGGCGGCCCCCUGGACAAAGACUGACGCUCAGGUGCGAAAGCGUGGGGAGCAGACAGGAUUAGAUACCCCAGUAGUC